rnacentral:rRNA from 1 species
UACGAAGGGGGCUAGCGUUGCUCGGAAUCACUGGGCGUAAAGCGCACGUAGGCGGGUCGUUAAGUCAGGGGUGAAAUCCUGGAGCUCAACUCCAGAACUGCCCUUGAUACUGGCGAUCUCGAGUUCGGGAGAGGUGAGUGGAACUGCGAGUGUAGAGGUGAAAAUUCGGUAGAUAUUCGCAAAGAACACCAGUGGCGAAAGGCGGCCU